rnacentral:rRNA from 1 species
UUAAGUUAUUAAGGGCGCACGGUGGAUGCCUUGGCACUAGAAGCCGAUGAAGGACGUUACUAACGACGAUAUGCUUUGGGGAGCUGUAAGUAAGCUUUGAUCCAGAGAUUUCCGAAUGGGGAAACCCAGCAUGAGUUAUGUCAUGUUAUCGAUAUGUGAAUACAUAGCAUAUCAGAAGGCACACCCGGAGAACUGAAACAUCUUAGUACCCGGAGGAAGAGAAAGAAAAUUCGAUUCCCUUAGUAGCGGCGAGCGAAACGGGAAGAGCCCAAACCAACAAGCUUGCUUGUUGGGGUUGUAGGACACUCUAUACGGAGUUACAAAGGACGACAUUAGACGAAUCAUCUGGAAAGAUGAAUCAAAGAAGGUAAUAAUCCUGUAGUCGAAAAUGUUGUCUCUCUUGAGUGGAUCCUGAGUACGACGGAGCACGUGAAAUUCCGUCGGAAUCUGGGAGGACCAUCUCCUAAGGCUAAAUACUCUCUAGUGACCGAUAGUGAACCAGUACCGUGAGGGAAAGGUGAAAAGCACCCCGGAAGGGGAGUGAAAUAGAACCUGAAACCGUGUGCUUACAAGUAGUCAGAGCCCGUUAAUGGGUGAUGGCGUGCCUUUUGUAGAAUGAACCGGCGAGUUACGAUUUGAUGCAAGGUUAAGCAGUAAAUGUGGAGCCGUAGCGAAAGCGAGUCUGAAUAGGGCGUUUAGUAUUUGGUCGUAGACCCGAAACCAGGUGAUCUACCCUUGGUCAGGUUGAAGUUCAGGUAACACUGAAUGGAGGACCGAACCGACUUACGUUGAAAAGUGAGCGGAUGAACUGAGGGUAGCGGAGAAAUUCCAAUCGAACCUGGAGAUAGCUGGUUCUCUCCGAAAUAGCUUUAGGGCUAGCCUCAAGUGAUGAUUAUUGGAGGUAGAGCACUGUUUGGACGAGGGGCCCCUCUCGGGUUACCGAAUUCAGACAAACUCCGAAUGCCAAUUAAUUUAACUUGGGAGUCAGAACAUGGGUGAUAAGGUCCGUGUUCGAAAGGGAAACAGCCCAGACCACCAGCUAAGGUCCCAAAAUAUAUGUUAAGUGGAAAAGGAUGUGGCGUUGCCCAGACAACUAGGAUGUUGGCUUAGAAGCAGCCAUCAUUUAAAGAGUGCGUAAUAGCUCACUAGUCGAGUGACACUGCGCCGAAAAUGUACCGGGGCUAAACAUAUUACCGAAGCUGUGGAUUGUCCUUUGGACAAUGGUAGGAGAGCGUUCUAAGGGCGUUGAAGCAUGAUCGUAAGGACAUGUGGAGCGCUUAGAAGUGAGAAUGCCGGUGUGAGUAGCGAAAGACGGGUGAGAAUCCCGUCCACCGAUUGACUAAGGUUUCCAGAGGAAGGCUCGUCCGCUCUGGGUUAGUCGGGUCCUAAGCUGAGGCCGACAGGCGUAGGCGAUGGAUAACAGGUUGAUAUUCCUGUACCACCUAUAAUCGUUUUAAUCGAUGGGGGGACGCAGUAGGAUAGGCGAAGCGUGCGAUUGGAUUGCACGUCUAAGCAGUAAGGCUGAGUAUUAGGCAAAUCCGGUACUCGUUAAGGCUGAGCUGUGAUGGGGAGAAGACAUUGUGUCUUCGAGUCGUUGAUUUCACACUGCCGAGAAAAGCCUCUAGAUAGAAAAUAGGUGCCCGUACCGCAAACCGACACAGGUAGUCAAGAUGAGAAUUCUAAGGUGAGCGAGCGAACUCUCGUUAAGGAACUCGGCAAAAUGACCCCGUAACUUCGGGAGAAGGGGUGCUCUUUAGGGUUAACGCCCAGAAGAGCCGCAGUGAAUAGGCCCAAGCGACUGUUUAUCAAAAACACAGGUCUCUGCUAAACCGUAAGGUGAUGUAUAGGGGCUGACGCCUGCCCGGUGCUGGAAGGUUAAGAGGAGUGGUUAGCUUCUGCGAAGCUACGAAUCGAAGCCCCAGUAAACGGCGGCCGUAACUAUAACGGUCCUAAGGUAGCGAAAUUCCUUGUCGGGUAAGUUCCGACCCGCACGAAAGGCGUAACGAUUUGGGCACUGUCUCAACGAGAGACUCGGUGAAAUCAUAGUACCUGUGAAGAUGCAGGUUACCCGCGACAGGACGGAAAGACCCCGUGGAGCUUUACUGUAGCCUGAUAUUGAAAUUCGGCACAGCUUGUACAGGAUAGGUAGGAGCCUUUGAAACGUGAGCGCUAGCUUACGUGGAGGCGCUGGUGGGAUACUACCCUAGCUGUGUUGGCUUUCUAACCCGCACNNNNNNNNACUUAUCGUGGUGGGAGACAGUGUCAGGCGGGCAGUUUGACUGGGGCGGUCGCCUCCUAAAAGGUAACGGAGGCGCUCAAAGGUUCCCUCAGAAUGGUUGGAAAUCAUUCAUAGAGUGUAAAGGCAUAAGGGAGCUUGACUGCGAGACCUACAAGUCGAGCAGGGUCGAAAGACGGACUUAGUGAUCCGGUGGUUCCGCAUGGAAGGGCCAUCGCUCAACGGAUAAAAGCUACCCCGGGGAUAACAGGCUUAUCUCCCCCAAGAGUUCACAUCGACGGGGAGGUUUGGCACCUCGAUGUCGGCUCAUCGCAUCCUGGGGCUGUAGUCGGUCCCAAGGGUUGGGCUGUUCGCCCAUUAAAGCGGUACGCGAGCUGGGUUCAGAACGUCGUGAGACAGUUCGGUCCCUAUCCGUCGUGGGCGUAGGAAAUUUGAGAGGAGCUGUCCUUAGUACGAGAGGACCGGGAUGGACAUACCUCUGGUGUACCAGUUGUCGUGCCAACGGCAUAGCUGGGUAGCUAUGUGUGGACGGGAUAAGUGCUGAAAGCAUCUAAGCAUGAAGCCCCCCUCAAGAUGAGAUUUCCCAACUUCGGUUAUAAGAUCCCUCAAAGAUGAUGAGGUUAAUAGGUUCGAGGUGGAAGCAUGGUGACAUGUGGAGCUGACGAAUACUAAUCGAUCGAAGACUUAAUCAA